rnacentral:rRNA from 1 species
AGCGAACGCUGGCGGCAGGCCUAACACAUGCAAGUCGAACGAACCUUUCGGGGUUAGUGGCGGACGGGUGAGUAACACGUGGGAACGUGCCUUUAGGUUCGGAAUAACUCAGGGAAACUUGUGCUAAUACCGAAUGUGCCCUUCGGGGGAAAGAUUAAUCGCCUUUAGAGCGGCCCGCGUCUGAUUAGCUAGUUGGUUGAGGUAAUGGCUCACCAAGGCGACGAUCAGUAGCUGGUCUGAGAGGAUGAUCAGCCACAUUGGGACUGAGACACGGCCCAAACUCCUCCGGGAGGCAGCAGUGGGGAAUCUUGCGCAAUGGGCGAAAGCCUGACGCAGCCAUGCCGCGUGAAUGAUGAAGGUCUUAGGAUUGUAAAAUUCUUUCACCGGGGACGAUAAUGACGGUACCCGGAGAAGAAGCCCCGGCUAACUUCGUG